rnacentral:rRNA from 1 species
CCUACGGGAGGCAGCAGUAGGGAAUCUUCCACAAUGGGCGCAAGCCUGAUGGAGCAACACCGCGUGAGUGAAGAAGGGUUUCGGCUCGUAAAGCUCUGUUGUUGGAGAAGAACGUGCGUGAGAGUAACUGUUCACGCAGUGACGGUAUCCAACCAGAAAGUCACGGCUAACUACGUGCCAGCAGCCGCGGUAAUACGUAGGUGGCAAGCGUUAUCCGGAUUUAUUGGGCGUAAAGCGAGCGCAGGCGGUUGCUUAGGUCUGAUGUGAAAGCCUUCGGCUUAACCGAAGAAGUGCAUCGGAAACCGGGCGACUUGAGUGCAGAAGAGGACAGUGGAACUCCAUGUGUAGCGGUGAAAUGCGUAGAGAUUAGGAAGAACACCAGUGGCGAAGGCGAUUCUCUGGACUGUAACUGACGUUGAGGCUCGAAAGCGUGGGGAGCAAACAGGAUUAGAUACCCCUGUAGUC